UCCAAAUUAAAUUACAUGGAUUUUUAGAAAUGAUUUCACGAUAGUAGGAGCGAGUACGAAGCUUGGAGAAGUUGUGGAAUUAGUUCGAACGAUUUUAUUUUCGAAAACGAACGUUUUUUUAGGGGGUCAACAAAGUUGACUUUUUAUGCGUUCAAAAUUUGGGAAAACUUCCUUCAUGAAAGUUGUAGAGCUCGUCGAUACGAUCGCGUGCAUAUGUGGAACGCAAUAUUCGGAGUUCGUAUGAAUAAGUUAUGAAUAUUUAAAAAUUGGGAUUUUUCUAUAAAUAGGUGGAAAAUCUGAUUUAUUUCGGAAGGACGAAAGUUUCUCAAAAUUGCAUUUUGGUCCCUGAAACUCUCCGUUCUCUCUCCUCCCUACGCAGCCGACCCGACUGACCCGACCCGGACCCAUCUCCCUCCUCCGGCGUUCUCCGGCCACGACCCGGCCAUCCCUGGCUUCGCCGUGAGCCGUCCAGUCUCCUGGUGCCAUCGCCUUGCAUCGACGCUGCCCCCAGACGUGGAUCGAAGCCCCCCCCGAGCCUAGCUUUUGACCCGAUCGGAUCUUGGCCGUGCCGGCGUUGCACGGGCCGAUCCUCCCCAUUUUCGUGAUCUCCUCCUCCCCCUGAUCAUCCCCAUAUAAGCCUUGCAUGACGAUUUUGGGUGUAGAGCGCUUGAUCAAGGUUUGACUUUUUUCGACGGCUCUGAUUCAAUCUGGAAUCAGAUCAGACGCUCCGGAUUAAUCCAACUUCAACGCUUGAUCUAGGACGAUCUAGGCCGAACCAGGCUUAGCUCCAGGUAUGGAAGUCGAUCACCCUUUCAUUUUGAACCAGUUUGUAGUUGGUCGCUUUGCCAUCGGAGGUGGUUGACCCGGAGUUGACCGCCGCGUUGACCGCCCACUGACCACCGCUUGUGGCGGAGCGUCAGACCAUAUUUCGAGUUUUCAUUAUCUAGGCGAUGAUCUAUGCAUCCAUACGAGCGUUUUGAUAUAUAACUUGGUCAUGUUAGAAAAAGUUGAUAAAUAGUGGAUUUACGUUUUUACGUUACUAUUUACGGUUUUUACGUUUUAUCUUCGGUUUACGAUCUGCGAAGAUCAGACCAUCGGUUUUACUUCAAAUUUUAAUAUGUUGAUCGUAUGACUGUCCCGGUGACUUUGUGAGGUCACGGGCGAAGAUCCGACCGUUGGAUCUUCGUAUAAUUGAGAAAUAGUGAUUCGGAAAGCGAUUCGUGAGAAUCCGACCGUCGGAUUUUCAUAUAAUUUUGUGGAGAUGUUAGUAAGGGCGAUUCAGGAAGAUCUGACCGUUGGAUCUUCGUGAUAAUUUUGGAGGAUGAUCCUAAAGGCGAUCCGUGAGGAUCCGACCGUUGGAUCAUCAUUAAAUUCAGAUCCAACCGUUGGAUCAUCGUUUAAUUUGAAUCUGACCGUUGGAUCGUCGUUUAAUUACAUUUAUGAGUUGUUGGCUAAGUUAAGAUCAUUAUUGGAUUAGGUUAUCGACGGAUUGAUUUGGCGGACAAUUCGGGAAAAUUGUUGUUUUAGCUGUUAAGAAGACGCAGCUGGAUUAGAGGUGAGUAAACCUCACGUGGUUCAUAUUACGAACCGAAUAAAUUUAAUUACUUUAUUUUUGUCGCAAUUGUGUGAAAAUAUUUGUGGAAUAAAUAUUUGUUUUCAAUCAUAUGGACUUGAUCAACUACGGUCCAUAGGUAAGUAAAAUGAUUUUAUUAUACAAAUGAAUUUCACGGUUUUUAUGCUUGAACUAUAGUUGGUAUUAGUGGUCAUCCCUGAGCGGAUGAUUACGUAUAUAUAUAUUUACGUGGAAUAUAUAUAUUGGUUGACGUGUGAUUGGUGUGAUGAAAUAAUUGAGAAUGAAUUGGAUAUUAUUCAAGCUAUUAAUCUCGCAUUUAAUUGUUGAAUAAUGAAAUGUUGAUCAUGUGGUGUGAAAGCUAUUUUAUAUGCCCAAUGGUGAAUAUGUGGAAAUUAUUUUAAGAAAUAAAGAUUUGUCUUGAAAUAAUAUGUCUCUUUAUGUGGGUGUACAUAUACAUAUAUAUGAUCUAUAAAUCAUAAAGAUUGUAUUUUGGUGAUUUUGAUUAUGUCUGAGAAGUACAAUUGUGAAGUCGGGUGUUAUCUACUACCCCGUGCUUAAGUGAAUUACUGGUAAAUGUGUUUUGGUGAUAUGUGGAAGUUAGCCUUGGGCCCUAGUCCCUACAGAUAGUGCACUAUUAUACUCUUAGGAAGGUUGCUUACUUUGAGUAUACAUACUUGGGUAUAGUACGUUGGACCCUAGUAUGCUGCGGCUUUCCCGUACUUUGGGUAUAGUACGUUGGACCCUAGUACGUGGAUUUAUGAUUUGUUACCAGUCAACCUGGCUUACUCGUGCUUUGGGUAUAGUACGUUGGACCCUAGCACUUGUAUUUAUGAUUUGUUACCAGUUAAUCCGAAAAUUCACUAAAAAGAAAAGUGUACUUAUAUUAUUUUGAUCAAAUAUCUAUUUGUGAUAUAUUGUUAAUAUGUGAAGGUGUUAGUGGAAAGAGAAUCAAGCAUGCUUUGCUUUAAUGUUAUUUCACAUAUUAAUGUUGCAAUAUUUGUUGGUGGUGAUCAGUCAAAUGCUGAGUUUUAAAAGAAGUAUCGAGAAUAAAUAUGCUUAUAUAUGUUUCUGUGAUUUUUGGAAUUACAUUGUGAGUGCGUCGAUUGUUUACUUGAGUUAUAAUAAAUAUAAUUGAAUAAAUCAACAGUUCUUUCUUGUUUACUCAUACGGGCUGUCAAAAGCUCACCGGGUUUUGUGUUGUUGCAACUCCCGGUACACUAUUCAAAUUGUGUAGCGGGUAGUCUUACAGGUCAGGAGAAUCAGGGCAGUGAUCGUGCGGUUUAGAAUAUUAGUAUUACAUUUAUAGCAUUUGUUUUGUGAGGAGAAUUGUGCUCUCUUGAGCUUUAUAAUUUGUUUUGGUGAGAGUGUACUGUAAUAAGUAGCUUGAGGAUUUGGUUUAUGUAAUUAUCGAGAGGUGUAAUGUGCAGUUGAUUUUGAGAAAAAAAUUCUGAGAUUAUAAACAGGGUAUUUGAGGUUCAUGCUUCGAAUAUGAAUUACUUAAAUUCAGAAUUCGGGGUGUGACAGAUUGGUAUCAGAGCGUGAGGUGCAUACUUAAUGAUUUGUCAAUACUUUCCGAGUGAUGGCCCGUCUGCAGCGGAUCCCCAUCGUGUGCUCUUCAGUAUUGAUCAAGUCAUUGGUAUGUAAGAGUGUUAGGAGUCAUCUAGGACGUUUGGUCGUAUUAGGAGUUAUGAAAUACCCUUGGUGUGUUAGUAUAUUGGUUAUUAGGUACUUGUAUUGACUGAUGCUAUGUUUGAGUGUUAUACAAGUUUUAAACAAUUUUUGCUAUGCUUCCGAAGUAAUGGACAAAUUGGGAAGCAUAACUAAGGAUUGAAGUAGACCCUUUGGUAGAGGCCUAGUCUGAUGUAGGAACAGGAUCUUUCUAUGGAGACAGUUGUGGAUGAGGUGUAGGCAUCCGAGGUUGAGCUGUCUGUUCCACUAGUGGUUGAUGCGAUGAAUUCUAUUCUUAGGUUGAAAUGGUGAAAAAUGUUGAGGAUUUAGAAGUAGUUGGAAAGAGAAUUGAUCUCACAACUCAAAGAUGAUAGGAGUGUGAGAGGUUAUGAGAUAGAGUUCUCAAGACUAUGGGUUUAGGAGACGAAUGGAUGCUAACUUUAGCAAGGUGUAGGGAAUAGAGAUGCCUUAUCAGCCUUAAGACUUUUCUUACUAAGGCGAAGUGUGAUACUAGAGGACCUAAUCUCUUGGUGUGUUGUGACAGGCUGUGCUUGAUGUCUAUAGUAGACUUUUGCGUGUGAAUUCUUUUUGUAAAGUGUUGUUCUAUGUGGUAUGUUGCAUGAUGCAUCUUUCGUUAUUUAACAGCGAAGUCUUUUACAACUUUGUUUGUGUGUGCAAUACUAUCUUGUUGUGUUCGAAAUUAUUUCGAGUGUUUGUUGUGAUUUUGGAAAAGUAUCAACAUACAUUCAAUCUUAUUAAUUUUAGGAUGAGUCUUUUACCACUUUAAUUAGUGCUGGGGCAAUAGAGUUAAUACUCUAAGCUCCUCAUAGGGGGAUGCCAAUUAUGAAAGAUGUGUGCAGUAGAGUUGUUUAUGGUUUUGAAAAUAGUAUUGGGUGACCAAGGUUCGAUCCUUGGUGUUGUUGAUGGUUAAACAAAAAGAAAAGAAAACAUGCACACCAUCUUAUUGAUUUUAUAUUACAAAAAAAAAAAAAGGAAAACAAGGACUAUGCUAUGCUAAGCCUAGUCAGCAGCUCCGGAUGGGUUGAGGCUGAGCUCAAGAGAAACGUUUGAGCCACUGUGGUAACCGCCUGAGCCACCAGAAUAGUAACCAAAAGCGCUACCUUCCUCGGAAGUAGCCUUCAGGUUACCAAAGACGUCCUCGCCAUGCACGGGGAACAAAGGAAGAGUUUGAACCUCCUGGUGAUCUCCUCCUCGUUGUUGCAGGGAUGUUUGUCCUCCUGUUGUGCCAAAAGAGUUGUACUGGUAUUAGUGUUGAAGUGUGAGGAAGAAUAUGAAACAAAAUUUAAAUCAAGAAAUCCUUCAUUACCAGUAGAAUAGGUGGAACCAAAGUUGAGAUCAAUGGAUCUACCAUCAUCAGUAGAACUAGUGGACCCAAAAUUGAUGUCAAUGGAUCCACCAGCUGGCCCAAAAUUGAUGUCGAUGGAUCCACCAGCACCAGUAGAACCAGUGGACCCAAAAUUGAGAUCAAUGGAUCCACCAGUACCAAGAGAACUAGUUCCCAUGGGCACUGGAGCAGCCUGAUUACACCUAUUCAUCUGCUUCUCUCGAGCCCUGACGUUCUGGAACCAAAAGUAAAUGUUCUUACCCUCAACAUGUCCAUACUGGUUCAGCUGGAGGCAGAUCUCGUGAAUGUGCUCUGUAGUUGGACGCUUAAAUCCCUUGACGUAGUAAAGAUCCUUGAGGAUUCUUAUUUGUUCUGGAGUAGGAAUCCACCUGGUACGGCUUCGCCAGAAAUCCAUGUUGGCACUACUUCCGGCUGCUUGGGUGUUUCCUCCCUCCUCUGUUGGUUGCCGUUGUUGUAGUUCCAUUUGUUGCGGGGUUUGGAGCUCCAUUAGUUGCAGAGUUCGUGGCUCUUGGGUCAUGGAGUGAGAGGAUGUGAAAAUCGAGGAAUACAUGGUUUAGUGUUUGAGGGAGAUUUUGUUAGAAGGAUUGGAGUUGUUGAACUGGUGAUUGGAGAUCUGAGAUUCUCAGAGGAAAGAUGAGAUCGAAUCUUCAAAUGGAAGAAAAGAUCUGAGAAAGAAAGAUUGAAGAUCUGAGAGUGAAAAACUGGGGAUUUGAGAAGAGAAAGGCUGAAGAGUUGAGAGAGAAAGGCUUGAGCUCGGAAGAAAAUUUCUUUUCCUUUGGAGUGAACAGUCGCGUCUCCAGAAUGCACCUAUUUAUAGAACAAGGUGAGCAGAUCUCCACCGUUGGAUGAACGAUCUCAGAAUUUGAAUCCACGCGUUGGAUUAAAGUCGCCCCGAAACCCGGAAAAGCUGUUGGCGCGUGUUGAGCGUGUAAGGGGACAUGCCGAAUUUCGAGGCGCUGUGGCAGACAGAUUUAGCCGAAAGUGAUUCUGAUUGCCUUAAAUCACGGAAGGGAUAAGCCGUGGCAGGUGGGCCGUACGUGGGCUUGUCUUGGAUCAAGGCCCUCACUGUAGUUGUGGGUGGAGGCCCAAUGGGCUGAACUUCUGAAAUAGUUUUGGGUGAAAUUCAUGGGCCGGAUUUCUGCAACAGUUUUGGGUGUUUUGGGCCGGAUUGUUGAAACAAUUUGAAACAGCUUGGUUUAAAUAAAAGGAAUGGUAUAGUUAUCAUCGAGAGCAGCUUGUGCUCCAGUGGUUGGGGGGCAAAGCCUUUGUGCAGCAGGUUAAGGUUUCGAACCUUGCCACCCCUUUUAUUUUAUUUAUGUCGCUUAUGACAUAAUAAAUAUAACACGUGAGCAUAUAUUAUUGGAAGCAGCUCUUGCUUCAGUGGUUGGGAGCAAAACUUUUGUGUUCGAGGUCGGGAGUUCGACCCUUGCCUCUUACAUUUAUUUUUGGAUCUUGUAUACGCUCAGUAUACGGACGUAUUUUUAUACGUAGAACCGUAGCUUUGUAUAUUUCUACGGUAUGGUAUCUGUAGAUUUCUACAGUAUUGGUAAAGUUGGAGAUAGUAUAGUCAAGUGUGGUAGUUGAAGUAAGAAUUGUGGUGAUCAAGUUGAUGCUUGGUUAGUGUUCUGAAAACUUUAAUCGGGAGAAAUGGACUCACGAUUAAAUUUCGGGACGAAAUUCCUUUAAGGAGGGUAGACUGUAAUACCCCGAAAAUCCAAAUUAAAUUACAUGGAUUUUUAGAAAUGAUUUCACGAUAGUAGGAGCGAGUACGAAGCUUGGAGAAGUUGUGGAAUUAGUUCGAACGAUUUUAUUUUCGAAAACGAACGUUUUUUUAGGGGGUCAACAAAGUUGACUUUUUAUGCGUUCAAAAUUUGGGAAAACUUCCUUCAUGAAAGUUGUAGAGCUCGUCGAUACGAUCGCGUGCAUAUGUGGAACGCAAUAUUCGGAGUUCGUAUGAAUAAGUUAUGAAUAUUUAAAAAUUGGGAUUUUUCUAUAAAUAGGUGGAAAAUCUGAUUUAUUUCGGAAGGACGAAAGUUUCUCAAAAUUGCAUUUUGGUCCCUGAAACUCUCCGUUCUCUCUCCUCCCUACGCAGCCGACCCGACUGACCCGACCCGGACCCAUCUCCCUCCUCCGGCGUUCUCCGGCCACGACCCGGCCAUCCCUGGCUUCGCCGUGAGCCGUCCAGUCUCCUGGUGCCAUCGCCUUGCAUCGACGCUGCCCCCAGACGUGGAUCGAAGCCCCCCCCGAGCCUAGCUUUUGACCCGAUCGGAUCUUGGCCGUGCCGGCGUUGCACGGGCCGAUCCUCCCCAUUUUCGUGAUCUCCUCCUCCCCCUGAUCAUCCCCAUAUAAGCCUUGCAUGACGAUUUUGGGUGUAGAGCGCUUGAUCAAGGUUUGACUUUUUUCGACGGCUCUGAUUCAAUCUGGAAUCAGAUCAGACGCUCCGGAUUAAUCCAACUUCAACGCUUGAUCUAGGACGAUCUAGGCCGAACCAGGCUUAGCUCCAGGUAUGGAAGUCGAUCACCCUUUCAUUUUGAACCAGUUUGUAGUUGGUCGCUUUGCCAUCGGAGGUGGUUGACCCGGAGUUGACCGCCGCGUUGACCGCCCACUGACCACCGCUUGUGGCGGAGCGUCAGACCAUAUUUCGAGUUUUCAUUAUCUAGGCGAUGAUCUAUGCAUCCAUACGAGCGUUUUGAUAUAUAACUUGGUCAUGUUAGAAAAAGUUGAUAAAUAGUGGAUUUACGUUUUUACGUUACUAUUUACGGUUUUUACGUUUUAUCUUCGGUUUACGAUCUGCGAAGAUCAGACCAUCGGUUUUACUUCAAAUUUUAAUAUGUUGAUCGUAUGACUGUCCCGGUGACUUUGUGAGGUCACGGGCGAAGAUCCGACCGUUGGAUCUUCGUAUAAUUGAGAAAUAGUGAUUCGGAAAGCGAUUCGUGAGAAUCCGACCGUCGGAUUUUCAUAUAAUUUUGUGGAGAUGUUAGUAAGGGCGAUUCAGGAAGAUCUGACCGUUGGAUCUUCGUGAUAAUUUUGGAGGAUGAUCCUAAAGGCGAUCCGUGAGGAUCCGACCGUUGGAUCAUCAUUAAAUUCAGAUCCAACCGUUGGAUCAUCGUUUAAUUUGAAUCUGACCGUUGGAUCGUCGUUUAAUUACAUUUAUGAGUUGUUGGCUAAGUUAAGAUCAUUAUUGGAUUAGGUUAUCGACGGAUUGAUUUGGCGGACAAUUCGGGAAAAUUGUUGUUUUAGCUGUUAAGAAGACGCAGCUGGAUUAGAGGUGAGUAAACCUCACGUGGUUCAUAUUACGAACCGAAUAAAUUUAAUUACUUUAUUUUUGUCGCAAUUGUGUGAAAAUAUUUGUGGAAUAAAUAUUUGUUUUCAAUCAUAUGGACUUGAUCAACUACGGUCCAUAGGUAAGUAAAAUGAUUUUAUUAUACAAAUGAAUUUCACGGUUUUUAUGCUUGAACUAUAGUUGGUAUUAGUGGUCAUCCCUGAGCGGAUGAUUACGUAUAUAUAUAUUUACGUGGAAUAUAUAUAUUGGUUGACGUGUGAUUGGUGUGAUGAAAUAAUUGAGAAUGAAUUGGAUAUUAUUCAAGCUAUUAAUCUCGCAUUUAAUUGUUGAAUAAUGAAAUGUUGAUCAUGUGGUGUGAAAGCUAUUUUAUAUGCCCAAUGGUGAAUAUGUGGAAAUUAUUUUAAGAAAUAAAGAUUUGUCUUGAAAUAAUAUGUCUCUUUAUGUGGGUGUACAUAUACAUAUAUAUGAUCUAUAAAUCAUAAAGAUUGUAUUUUGGUGAUUUUGAUUAUGUCUGAGAAGUACAAUUGUGAAGUCGGGUGUUAUCUACUACCCCGUGCUUAAGUGAAUUACUGGUAAAUGUGUUUUGGUGAUAUGUGGAAGUUAGCCUUGGGCCCUAGUCCCUACAGAUAGUGCACUAUUAUACUCUUAGGAAGGUUGCUUACUUUGAGUAUACAUACUUGGGUAUAGUACGUUGGACCCUAGUAUGCUGCGGCUUUCCCGUACUUUGGGUAUAGUACGUUGGACCCUAGUACGUGGAUUUAUGAUUUGUUACCAGUCAACCUGGCUUACUCGUGCUUUGGGUAUAGUACGUUGGACCCUAGCACUUGUAUUUAUGAUUUGUUACCAGUUAAUCCGAAAAUUCACUAAAAAGAAAAGUGUACUUAUAUUAUUUUGAUCAAAUAUCUAUUUGUGAUAUAUUGUUAAUAUGUGAAGGUGUUAGUGGAAAGAGAAUCAAGCAUGCUUUGCUUUAAUGUUAUUUCACAUAUUAAUGUUGCAAUAUUUGUUGGUGGUGAUCAGUCAAAUGCUGAGUUUUAAAAGAAGUAUCGAGAAUAAAUAUGCUUAUAUAUGUUUCUGUGAUUUUUGGAAUUACAUUGUGAGUGCGUCGAUUGUUUACUUGAGUUAUAAUAAAUAUAAUUGAAUAAAUCAACAGUUCUUUCUUGUUUACUCAUACGGGCUGUCAAAAGCUCACCGGGUUUUGUGUUGUUGCAACUCCCGGUACACUAUUCAAAUUGUGUAGCGGGUAGUCUUACAGGUCAGGAGAAUCAGGGCAGUGAUCGUGCGGUUUAGAAUAUUAGUAUUACAUUUAUAGCAUUUGUUUUGUGAGGAGAAUUGUGCUCUCUUGAGCUUUAUAAUUUGUUUUGGUGAGAGUGUACUGUAAUAAGUAGCUUGAGGAUUUGGUUUAUGUAAUUAUCGAGAGGUGUAAUGUGCAGUUGAUUUUGAGAAAAAAAUUCUGAGAUUAUAAACAGGGUAUUUGAGGUUCAUGCUUCGAAUAUGAAUUACUUAAAUUCAGAAUUCGGGGUGUGACAGAUUGGUAUCAGAGCGUGAGGUGCAUACUUAAUGAUUUGUCAAUACUUUCCGAGUGAUGGCCCGUCUGCAGCGGAUCCCCAUCGUGUGCUCUUCAGUAUUGAUCAAGUCAUUGGUAUGUAAGAGUGUUAGGAGUCAUCUAGGACGUUUGGUCGUAUUAGGAGUUAUGAAAUACCCUUGGUGUGUUAGUAUAUUGGUUAUUAGGUACUUGUAUUGACUGAUGCUAUGUUUGAGUGUUAUACAAGUUUUAAACAAUUUUUGCUAUGCUUCCGAAGUAAUGGACAAAUUGGGAAGCAUAACUAAGGAUUGAAGUAGACCCUUUGGUAGAGGCCUAGUCUGAUGUAGGAACAGGAUCUUUCUAUGGAGACAGUUGUGGAUGAGGUGUAGGCAUCCGAGGUUGAGCUGUCUGUUCCACUAGUGGUUGAUGCGAUGAAUUCUAUUCUUAGGUUGAAAUGGUGAAAAAUGUUGAGGAUUUAGAAGUAGUUGGAAAGAGAAUUGAUCUCACAACUCAAAGAUGAUAGGAGUGUGAGAGGUUAUGAGAUAGAGUUCUCAAGACUAUGGGUUUAGGAGACGAAUGGAUGCUAACUUUAGCAAGGUGUAGGGAAUAGAGAUGCCUUAUCAGCCUUAAGACUUUUCUUACUAAGGCGAAGUGUGAUACUAGAGGACCUAAUCUCUUGGUGUGUUGUGACAGGCUGUGCUUGAUGUCUAUAGUAGACUUUUGCGUGUGAAUUCUUUUUGUAAAGUGUUGUUCUAUGUGGUAUGUUGCAUGAUGCAUCUUUCGUUAUUUAACAGCGAAGUCUUUUACAACUUUGUUUGUGUGUGCAAUACUAUCUUGUUGUGUUCGAAAUUAUUUCGAGUGUUUGUUGUGAUUUUGGAAAAGUAUCAACAUACAUUCAAUCUUAUUAAUUUUAGGAUGAGUCUUUUACCACUUUAAUUAGUGCUGGGGCAAUAGAGUUAAUACUCUAAGCUCCUCAUAGGGGGAUGCCAAUUAUGAAAGAUGUGUGCAGUAGAGUUGUUUAUGGUUUUGAAAAUAGUAUUGGGUGACCAAGGUUCGAUCCUUGGUGUUGUUGAUGGUUAAACAAAAAGAAAAGAAAACAUGCACACCAUCUUAUUGAUUUUAUAUUACAAAAAAAAAAAAAGGAAAACAAGGACUAUGCUAUGCUAAGCCUAGUCAGCAGCUCCGGAUGGGUUGAGGCUGAGCUCAAGAGAAACGUUUGAGCCACUGUGGUAACCGCCUGAGCCACCAGAAUAGUAACCAAAAGCGCUACCUUCCUCGGAAGUAGCCUUCAGGUUACCAAAGACGUCCUCGCCAUGCACGGGGAACAAAGGAAGAGUUUGAACCUCCUGGUGAUCUCCUCCUCGUUGUUGCAGGGAUGUUUGUCCUCCUGUUGUGCCAAAAGAGUUGUACUGGUAUUAGUGUUGAAGUGUGAGGAAGAAUAUGAAACAAAAUUUAAAUCAAGAAAUCCUUCAUUACCAGUAGAAUAGGUGGAACCAAAGUUGAGAUCAAUGGAUCUACCAUCAUCAGUAGAACUAGUGGACCCAAAAUUGAUGUCAAUGGAUCCACCAGCUGGCCCAAAAUUGAUGUCGAUGGAUCCACCAGCACCAGUAGAACCAGUGGACCCAAAAUUGAGAUCAAUGGAUCCACCAGUACCAAGAGAACUAGUUCCCAUGGGCACUGGAGCAGCCUGAUUACACCUAUUCAUCUGCUUCUCUCGAGCCCUGACGUUCUGGAACCAAAAGUAAAUGUUCUUACCCUCAACAUGUCCAUACUGGUUCAGCUGGAGGCAGAUCUCGUGAAUGUGCUCUGUAGUUGGACGCUUAAAUCCCUUGACGUAGUAAAGAUCCUUGAGGAUUCUUAUUUGUUCUGGAGUAGGAAUCCACCUGGUACGGCUUCGCCAGAAAUCCAUGUUGGCACUACUUCCGGCUGCUUGGGUGUUUCCUCCCUCCUCUGUUGGUUGCCGUUGUUGUAGUUCCAUUUGUUGCGGGGUUUGGAGCUCCAUUAGUUGCAGAGUUCGUGGCUCUUGGGUCAUGGAGUGAGAGGAUGUGAAAAUCGAGGAAUACAUGGUUUAGUGUUUGAGGGAGAUUUUGUUAGAAGGAUUGGAGUUGUUGAACUGGUGAUUGGAGAUCUGAGAUUCUCAGAGGAAAGAUGAGAUCGAAUCUUCAAAUGGAAGAAAAGAUCUGAGAAAGAAAGAUUGAAGAUCUGAGAGUGAAAAACUGGGGAUUUGAGAAGAGAAAGGCUGAAGAGUUGAGAGAGAAAGGCUUGAGCUCGGAAGAAAAUUUCUUUUCCUUUGGAGUGAACAGUCGCGUCUCCAGAAUGCACCUAUUUAUAGAACAAGGUGAGCAGAUCUCCACCGUUGGAUGAACGAUCUCAGAAUUUGAAUCCACGCGUUGGAUUAAAGUCGCCCCGAAACCCGGAAAAGCUGUUGGCGCGUGUUGAGCGUGUAAGGGGACAUGCCGAAUUUCGAGGCGCUGUGGCAGACAGAUUUAGCCGAAAGUGAUUCUGAUUGCCUUAAAUCACGGAAGGGAUAAGCCGUGGCAGGUGGGCCGUACGUGGGCUUGUCUUGGAUCAAGGCCCUCACUGUAGUUGUGGGUGGAGGCCCAAUGGGCUGAACUUCUGAAAUAGUUUUGGGUGAAAUUCAUGGGCCGGAUUUCUGCAACAGUUUUGGGUGUUUUGGGCCGGAUUGUUGAAACAAUUUGAAACAGCUUGGUUUAAAUAAAAGGAAUGGUAUAGUUAUCAUCGAGAGCAGCUUGUGCUCCAGUGGUUGGGGGGCAAAGCCUUUGUGCAGCAGGUUAAGGUUUCGAACCUUGCCACCCCUUUUAUUUUAUUUAUGUCGCUUAUGACAUAAUAAAUAUAACACGUGAGCAUAUAUUAUUGGAAGCAGCUCUUGCUUCAGUGGUUGGGAGCAAAACUUUUGUGUUCGAGGUCGGGAGUUCGACCCUUGCCUCUUACAUUUAUUUUUGGAUCUUGUAUACGCUCAGUAUACGGACGUAUUUUUAUACGUAGAACCGUAGCUUUGUAUAUUUCUACGGUAUGGUAUCUGUAGAUUUCUACAGUAUUGGUAAAGUUGGAGAUAGUAUAGUCAAGUGUGGUAGUUGAAGUAAGAAUUGUGGUGAUCAAGUUGAUGCUUGGUUAGUGUUCUGAAAACUUUAAUCGGGAGAAAUGGACUCACGAUUAAAUUUCGGGACGAAAUUCCUUUAAGGAGGGUAGACUGUAAUACCCCGAAAAUCCAAAUUAAAUUACAUGGAUUUUUAGAAAUGAUUUCACGAUAGUAGGAGCGAGUACGAAGCUUGGAGAAGUUGUGGAAUUAGUUCGAACGAUUUUAUUUUCGAAAACGAACGUUUUUUUAGGGGGUCAACAAAGUUGACUUUUUAUGCGUUCAAAAUUUGGGAAAACUUCCUUCAUGAAAGUUGUAGAGCUCGUCGAUACGAUCGCGUGCAUAUGUGGAACGCAAUAUUCGGAGUUCGUAUGAAUAAGUUAUGAAUAUUUAAAAAUUGGGAUUUUUCUAUAAAUAGGUGGAAAAUCUGAUUUAUUUCGGAAGGACGAAAGUUUCUCAAAAUUGCAUUUUGGUCCCUGAAACUCUCCGUUCUCUCUCCUCCCUACGCAGCCGACCCGACUGACCCGACCCGGACCCAUCUCCCUCCUCCGGCGUUCUCCGGCCACGACCCGGCCAUCCCUGGCUUCGCCGUGAGCCGUCCAGUCUCCUGGUGCCAUCGCCUUGCAUCGACGCUGCCCCCAGACGUGGAUCGAAGCCCCCCCCGAGCCUAGCUUUUGACCCGAUCGGAUCUUGGCCGUGCCGGCGUUGCACGGGCCGAUCCUCCCCAUUUUCGUGAUCUCCUCCUCCCCCUGAUCAUCCCCAUAUAAGCCUUGCAUGACGAUUUUGGGUGUAGAGCGCUUGAUCAAGGUUUGACUUUUUUCGACGGCUCUGAUUCAAUCUGGAAUCAGAUCAGACGCUCCGGAUUAAUCCAACUUCAACGCUUGAUCUAGGACGAUCUAGGCCGAACCAGGCUUAGCUCCAGGUUAUCGACGGAUUGAUUUGGCGGACAAUUCGGGAAAAUUGUUGUUUUAGCUGUUAAGAAGACGCAGCUGGAUUAGAGCGGGUAGUCUUACAGGUCAGGAGAAUCAGGGCAGUGAUCGUGCGGUUUAGAAUAUUAGUAUUACAUUUAUAGCAUUUGUUUUGUGAGGAGAAUUGUGCUCUCUUGAGCUUUAUAAUUUGUUUUGGUGAGAGUGUACUGUAAUAAGUAGCUUGAGGAUUUGGUUUAUGUAAUUAUCGAGAGGUGUAAUGUGCAGUUGAUUUUGAGAAAAAAAUUCUGAGAUUAUAAACAGGGUAUUUGAGGUUCAU